rnacentral:rRNA from 1 species
UGGGUUUGAUCCUGGCUCAGGGUGAACGCUUGAAGUAGGCCUAACACAUGCGAGUAAGUAUGCAAUGCAUACAUGCGAACGGGUGAGCAAAUCCCAUAAGAAAACUGCAUUAAAGAUAAAAAUAAAAUAGUGUACUUUCAUUUUAACUAAUGUCUAAAAAACUUUUUAAGUUUUCAUACAACUUUAGAAUGUACUUGUGGAAGAUUAGGUUGUUGGUAAGGUAAAUGCUUACCAAGCCAUCGAUCUUUAGUUGGUCUGAGAGGAUGAUCAGCCACACUGGGACUGAGACAAGGCCCAGGCUUCUUUUGAGGCCAGCAGUGAGGAAUAUUGGACAAUACACAAAAGUGUGAUCCAGCUAUACUACGCGAACGAUUGAAGACUCCUUGAGGUUGUAAAGUUCUACAGCAUGCAUCAACAUGACAUAUGCAUGUGCAUUAGCCCCGGCCAACUUCGUGCCAGCAGCCGCGGUUAGACGAUGGGGGCGAGCGUUAUCCAUAAUGACUGGGCGUAAAGGGUUCGUAGGUUGUUGUUGGUUUUGAAUACGAAAGCCACGCUCGGAAGAGAUGAAGUGUUUUCAAAUGCCACCAACUUGAGGAAAAAAAAGGUAGCUUGAAUUUUGCAAGGAGGGAUGGUAUCCAGAAAGAUGCAAAGGAAGACCGAUUGGCACAGGCGGGCUACUAGUUUUUUACUAACAUUGGGGAACGAAAGUGUGGGGAGCAAACAGGAUUAGAGACCCUGGUAGUCCACACCCUAAAAUCUGGGUGCUAAGGGAUAAAAAUUUAUUUGUUCAGAAAAAGCGAACGCGUGAAGCACCCCGCCGGAGAAGUAUGACCGCAAGGUUGAAACUCAAAGGAAUUGACGGGGGUCUAUACAAGUGGUGGAACAUGUGGUUUAAUGCGAUACUACGCGCCUAACCUUACCAGUUCUUGAUAUGAUGAUUUAUUUCUGCAAAGAAAGUACAUAGAAUAAUUGAUUUCUUAAGUCAUCACAGGUGUUGCAUGGCUGUCGUCAGCUCGUGUCGUAAGAUGUUUGGUUAAGUCCCUUAACGAGCGCAACCUCAACUUGCAUUUGCUUCUACAAUCUAAACAAUUAAAGAAA